rnacentral:lncRNA from 1 species
CCCUUUUUUCUCUCUAAAAAAAACUGACACUUGAGGAUUUAAGGCCCCAUGUCGCGCCGGCCAACCGCCCGCCACACCACCACCAUAUUCCGACGGUCGGCGAGGCUCACGAAUGGGUUUUUAAAGUCCCUCCCCGGUGAGUUUCUUUUUUCUUUUUUUAUUUUUGUUUAAGCAAUAAAAAUGAAAAAAAAAUAAAAAAAACUAUGAUAAAAAUAAAAAGGAGAAAGAUUGAAAUCAGAGAAACCCGGAAAUCACCUUUGAUUUUUUUUUGCUUUUAUUUCUUUGAAAACUAUUACAGAAGAAGAAAAAAAAGAAGAAGCCCCUCCCUUUUUUUUACAAAAAACAAAUCGGUUCCCCCCUUGUUUUCGAUUUAGAAUGACUUUUUAUAUCAAGCCAUUUUACAAAUUUUUUUAUUUUUCUUUGCUUGUUGUUGCUGCUUUCUUUGUUUGUUUGCAGGUGAGCAGUUGGACGGUGGCAGAGAGCAGGUGGCCACUUGCGCUAUGAAGCGACGGUGGCGGCGCUAGGGCAGGCUAGGGACGUGCGGCGCAUUGGCUAGGCUAGGCUAGGGUUUCAGAAAACUGAAACCCUAGGUUGACUAUUGGAAAUUUAGGUUGGUAGGGCUUUGGGUAGUUGGGCCGGUGCAUUUGGGCUUCGGGUUUUGGGCCAGUGUUUAGGUGGGUUGAGUUUGGGUUAUUUUGGGUUUGUUUAAGAUGGGUUUGUAAUGGGCCGGGCAAAAUGGGCUUGUACAGAGACGAUUAUGCCUAUUUAUAGAUUUAAAAACCUUGUUCUAAUUAAAGUCAAAUAGAAGUUUACUUCUAUAGAAAGAGUUUCC